rnacentral:lncRNA from 1 species
GGUGGAAAAGAUGAUGGCAACAGGUUACAUGAUCGGUGGCUCUAAUACCAUUUUAAAAUAUUUGCAGAAGAAGUAAAAACUAAGAGACAAAAAGAGGAAGAAAAGUAAUUUUAUUUCUCUAUUCCAUCAUAUUCGGUACAUCUCAGGAGUUAUAUAUAUUCGUGUAUAGACUCCAUACGAGAAAAAUAAAAUAGGUUGAUAUAUAUAGAUCAGUUAAAAAAAAAUACUCGCUGAUAUAAGUCGUUAUGUGAUCCCAAAAAUUACUCUAACAAGAUCAUGCUAAUAAAGAAAAAAAUAUUGACCAAUACAGGAUCAUGCUAACAAAGAAAAAUAAUAUGAGAUGUUAUGUGAUCCCUAAAAUUAUUUUAAUAUCGAUAAUGAUUGCGGGUAUGGUCGAUGUCUAUGGCAGCGGUGUUACUACUUACCUACCAGACGACUGGCAAGGCAUUGUCGUCAAACAAAGGCUAUUACUUUGGGCAUGUUAGAUGUUGUCCUAAAUUGCUACAUCAAUUAUCUUUUUCAGAGGUGAUGGGUCCUUAAGCCGCUCCAUGCAGUGGACCCCACCAAGAGGAAUGAUUCUGUCGUGCCGCCAGCGGCGACAUUGGUUAUGAUGGUGGGG